rnacentral:rRNA from 1 species
UCAAGCGACUAAGUGUAUGUGGUGGAUGCCUUGGCGAUUACAGGCGAUGAAGGACGUCGCAGCCUGCGAAAAGCCGUGGGGAGCUGGCAAGCGAGCACUGAUCCACGGAUGUCCGAAUGAGGGAACUCACCCGCAAGGGUAUCUUGAAGUGAAUACAUAGCUUCAAGAGGCGAACGCAGCGAACUGAAACAUCUAAGUAGCUGCAGGAAAAGAAAUCAACCGAGAUUCUGAAAGUAGCGGCGAGCGAAAUUGGAUGAGCCUGCAAGUGAUAUUGAAUUCGAUACUGGAACGGUCUGGAAAGUCCGGCUACAGAGGGUGAUAGCCCCGUACGGGAAAUUGGGUUCAAGGUACUGAGCUUGCGAGAAGUAGAGCGGGACACGUGAAAUCCUGCUCGAAGAUGGGGGGACCAUCCUCCAAGGCUAAAUACUCGUAAUCGACCGAUAGCGAACCAGUACUGUGAAGGAAAGGCGAAAAGAACCCCGGGAGGGGAGUGAAAUAGAUCCUGAAACCGCAUACAUACAAACAGUAGGAGCCCGCAAGGGUGACUGCGUACCUUUUGCAUAAUGGGUCAGCGACUUACGUUCAAUGGCAAGCUUAACCGAGUAGGGGAGGCGCAGCGAAAGCGAGUCCGAACAGGGCGACAUGAGUCGUUGGGCGUAGACCCGAAACCAGAUGAUCUAUCCAUGGCCAGGCUGAAGGUGUGGUAACACACACUGGAGGGCCGAACCGACUAGUGUUGCAAAAUUAGCGGAUGAGCUGUGGAUAGGGGUGAAAGGCUAAACAAAUCUGGAGAUAGCUGGUUCUCCCCGAAAACUAUUGAGGUAGUGCCUCGUGUAUGGCUCCAGGGGGUAGAGCACUGUUAUGGCUAGGGGGACAUGGCGUCUUACCAAACCAUGGCAAACUCCGAAUACUUGGAAGUCUGAGCACGGGAGACAGAGCACCGGGUGCUAACGUCCGGACUCAAAAGGGAAACAACCCAGACCGCCGGCUAAGGUCCCUAAUAUUGACUAAGUGGAAAACGAAGUGGGAAGGCUAAGACAGUCAGGAAGUUGGCUUAGAAGCAGCCAUCCUUCAAAGAAAGCGUAAUAGCUCACUGAUCGAGUCUUCCUGCGCGGAAGAUGUAACGGGGCUAAGUCAAUAACCGAAGCCGCGGAUUCGCAGCAAUGCGAGUGGUAGGGGAGCGUUCUGUAAGCCUGCGAAGGCGGAUCCGCGAGGACCGCUGGAGGUAUCAGAAGUGCGAAUGCUGACAUGAGUAACGUUAAAGCGGGUGAAAAGCCCGCUCGCCGCAAGCCCAAGGUUUCCUGCUCUACGUUCAUCGGAGCAGGGUGAGUCGGCCCCUAAGGUCAGGCUGAGAAGCGUAGCUGAUGGGAAGCUGGUUAAUAUUCCAGCACCGAUUUCAAGUGCGAAGGGGGGACGGAGUCCUGAAGGUCAUCCGGGUGUUGGAUAUCCCGGUUUACGAGCGUAGGAGGUUGACAGGCAAAUCCGUCAACGGAUCUCCAAGGCGAAGGAUCGAGGUUGAGAGAUCAACUGAAGUGACUGAAUGGGCUUCCAGGAAAAGCCUCUAAGCAUCAGCUUGGAAUUGACCGUACCGCAAACCGACACUGGUGGGCGAGCUGAAUAUGCUCAGGCGCUUGAGAGAACUCAGGAGAAGGAACUCGGCAAAUUGACACCGUAACUUCGGGAUAAGGUGUGCCUUUGUAGUGUGAAGAGAGAAACACUCCGAGCAUGAAGAGGCCUCAGAGAAUCGGUGGCUGCAACUGUUUACUAAAAACACAGCACUCUGCAAAGAUGAAAGUCGACGUAUAGGGUGUGAUGCCUGCCCGGUGCUGGAAGAUUAAUUGAUGGGGUGCAAGCUCCUGAUCGAAGUCCCAGUAAACGGCGGCCGUAACUAUAACGGUCCUAAGGUAGCGAAAUUCCUUGUCGGGU